ACUCCUACGGGAGGCAGCAGUGGGGAAUAUUGCACAAUGGGGGAAACCCUGAUGCAGCCAUGCCGCGUGUGUGAAGAAGGCCUUCGGUUGUAAAGACACUUUCAGUAGGGAGGAAGGUAGUGUAGUUAACACCUGCACUAUUUGACGUUACCUACAGAAGAAGCACCGGCUAACUCCGUGCCAGCAGCCGCGGUAAUACGGAGGGGUGCGAGCGUUAAUCGGAAUUACUGGGCGUAAAGCGCAUGCAGGCGGCCUGUUAAGUCAGAUGUGAAAGCCCGGGGGCUUAACCUCGGAAUUGCAUUUGAAACUGGCAGGCUAGAGUCUUGUAGAGGGGGUAGGAAUUUCAGGUGUAGCGGU
rnacentral:rRNA from 1 species